rnacentral:rRNA from 1 species
GGGGAGUGAAAAAGAACCUGAAACCGUGUACGUACAAGCAGUGGGAGCACGCUUAGGCGUGUGACUGCGUACCUUUUGUAUAAUGGGUCAGCGACUUAUAUUCUGUAGCAAGGUUAACCGAAUAGGGGAGCCGAAGGGAAACCGAGUCUUAACUGGGCGUUAAGUUGCAGGGUAUAGACCCGAAACCCGGUGAUCUAGCCAUGGGCAGGUUGAAGGUUGGGUAACACUAACUGGAGGACCGAACCGACUAAUGUUGAAAAAUUAGCGGAUGACUUGUGGCUGGGGGUGAAAGGCCAAUCAAACCGGGAGAUAGCUGGUUCUCCCCGAAAGCUAUUUAGGUAGCGCCUCGUGAAUUCAUCUCCGGGGGUAGAGCACUGUUUCGGCAAGGGGGUCAUCCCGACUUACCAACCCGAUGCAAACUGCGAAUACCGGAGAAUGUUAUCACGGGAGACACACGGCGGGUGCUAACGUCCGUCGUGAAGAGGGAAACAACCCAGACCGCCAGCUAAGGUCCCAAAGUCAUGGUUAAGUGGGAAACGAUGUGGGAAGGCCCAGACAGCCAGGAUGUUGGCUUAGAAGCAGCCAUCAUUUAAAGAAAGCGUAAUAGCUCACUGGUCGAGUCGGCCUGCGCGGAAGAUGUAACGGGGCUAAACCAUG